rnacentral:tRNA from 5 species
UAAUUAACUAAUUGGCAGAAAAAUGCAUUAGAAUUAGAAUCUAAUAAAACUUUA